UACGUAGGGGGCAAGCGUUGUCCGGAUUUAUUGGGCGUAAAGAGCGUGUAGGCGGUUAGGUAGGUCCGUUGUGAAAACUCGAGGCUCAACCUCGAGACGCCGAUGGAAACCAUCUGACUAGAGUCCGGAAGAGGAGAGUGGAAUUCCUGGUGUAGCGGUGAAAUGCGCAGAUAUCAGGAAGAACACCGGUGGCGAAGGCGGGAUCCUGGGCCAGUACUGACGCUGAGACGCGAAAGCGUGGGGAGCGAACAGG
rnacentral:rRNA from 1 species